rnacentral:tRNA from 2 species
UUGGGAUAGCUCAGUUGGUAGAGCAGAGGACUGAAAAUCCUC